rnacentral:rRNA from 1 species
GUCCACGCCCUAAACGGUGGGUACUAGGUGUAGGGCUCGCAAGGGUUCUGUGCCGUAGGGAAACCAUUAAGUACCCCGCCUGGGGAGUACGGCCGCAAGGUUGAAACUCAAAGGAAUUGACGGGGGCCCGCACAAGCGGUGGAGCAUGUGGUUUAAUUCGACGCAACGCGAAGAACCUUACCUGGGCUUGACAUGUUAGUGGUAGGAAACUGAAAAGGGCCCGACCUGUAGCAAUACAGGAGCUAACACAGGUGCUGCAUGGCUGUCGU